UUUGUAUUCAAGAGUCUCUGUUUUGGUCCAGCCACAUUUGGUUUUCUCCUAUCUGACAAUUAACGUUAUUCGGUUCACCUGCACCUAGCAUUCAGUCUCCUUGUUUCACCUGGUUCUUGCUCCAUAUAUACACCUCUAUUCUGUUCAUUCCUGGCGGAAACAUUUUUGAUCAUAUCACCCUGUUUUCAGCUGGUAGUUGUGAGUGAGUUUUUUGUUUUUCUAAGAUUAAAUCAUAUUACUCGCCACCGAUGCAUGCUGUCUGUCUGUAUUCCGGAGUCCUCUGGCAUACCAAGCCUAAGAUGCUCCUGUAGUUUGUUGUGAGAACAGUACACUUUUGUUUACUCCUUUUUGCUGAGGUUGAAGAGACUUUUUCUUUAUUGGAUGCCAAGCUGUUUCAUCUAGGUACAGGGUUCUUCCUGUUAGCUGUCUUCCCAGAUCCGGAGGAAGGGAUUUAUUCUUUAACUUUGCGCAGAGAGAGUUCCAUCGAUACAGCUGUCUGUUGUUUUGGAUUGUUGGGCCUAUUUGGUUUUUACUUCCCUGCUCCUCCUUGUGAGUUAGUGUUUUUUAUCUUUAGAUCUAGUUUCCCUUUGGCUUAUUUUAUAGUUUAGUUUCUCCAGUGUCCCUGUGUCUCCCAGUCACCAUUGUAAUCAUUCAUUCCCUCAGGCUCCACAGCCAGUUCCCGCACCUGUCCCUAAUUCUCCUCUAAUUACCUUAGCUUCCUCUCAUUGGUCCACUCUCCUCCUCUCCCUGCUAAUAUACCUGGUUGUUCUAAUUAUUCUCCACUGGUUCCUCACGUCAUGCAUGCCAUACUUCUCACCUGUUUACCUGAAGUCUCAUGGUUCCUUAUCGUUGUUUGACAAUUCCUCUGUUUGAUAUCCUCCAGCAUUUCCAUGUCCCUCCUUAUCUGUGCUAAUCCACAGGGUGUUUGGGCUGUGCAAGUCGCUGUCUCACACAACUGUUAUAUUAAUCUGUGCUGCUGCUUUCCCAGCUGACCCCAGGAGGCUUGCCUGAGAUCUCUUCACACUGUACCUGUCACUUCCGAGGAAAUGGCAGCUGCACUCCCACAGGCUCACUGCACAGCAAUAGCAAACUGCCUCAGCUCACCUUUUGUCACUUUAUUGCUCUCUCAAAGUCUCCUGUGCUUCAGGACUACGCUCUGUAGUUUGUAUCCCUCACAAUAAAUUUCUCUUGGGCUUCA